GAUACAGAUAAUAAAUAAGCUUCCUGGAAAAAAGGAUUUAUUCAUUGAGGCAGAUCUCAUGAGCCCUUUGGAUCGAAUUGCCAAUGUCUCCAUUCUGAAGCAACACGAAGUAGACAAGCUAUACAAGGUGGAGAACAAGCCAGCCCUCAGCUCCAAUGAACAAUUGUGCUUCUUGGUCAGACCCCGCAUCAAGAAUAUGCGAUACAUUGCCAGUCUUGUCAAUGCUGACAAAUUGUCUGGCCGAACUCGCAAAUACAAAGUGAUCUUCAGCCCUCAAAAGUUUUAUGCGUGUGAGAUGGUGCUUGAGGAAGAGGGAAUCUAUGGAGAUGUGAGCUGUGAUGAAUGGGCCUUCUCUUUGCUGCCUCUUGAUGUGGAUCUGCUGAGCAUGG
rnacentral:sRNA from 1 species